AAAGGGAAGCGAAGGGGCGACCUGGAGCAAAUCUCAAAAAUAACGUCUCAGUUCGGACUGUAGUCUGCAACCCGACUACACGAAGCUGGAAUCGCUAGUAAUCGCGAAUCAGAAUGUCGCGGUGAAUACGUUCCCGGGUCUUGUACACACCGCCCGUCACACCAUGGGAGUUGGUAAUGCCCGAAGUCAGUGACCCAACCGCAAGGAGGGAGCUGCCGAAGGCAGGACUGAUAACUGGGGUGAAGUCGUAACAAGGUAAC
rnacentral:rRNA from 1 species